GCCGGUUUUCCACUUGCGAAUUUUUUCGCGCGAAGCGAAUUUUUCCUUUGUCUUUGGUCUUUCAACUGAAACCAUGUUGAAGUAAUUGGAUAAAGACAAAAGAAAAAUUCGCUUCGCGCGAAAAAAAUCGCAAGUGGAAAACCAGC